AUUAAUUUAUAUAUACUUGCACAAUAAUAACUAAUUGAGAAGGUUGGUCGUGGGAGAUUAGCAACCUUUUGCAAGUCUUUCUUCGUAAUUAAAAUGUUGAAGAUCACAGGAAAAGGAAAAUUGCAGGAGAAAAAGAAUCAAAGCAGAAAUGAAAAAUAUGGAGUGCAUGUAUAUUUAUAAAGUAUACCCAUAUCUAUAUAUGUAAUACAAUAGCAUCACAAUAAAUUAAAUACACACUAAAGUACAACGGUAUAUAUCAAUCAAUAAAGCGGCUGCCAAGCUCAUACAUCGCAUAAAUAUAUAAUCUCAAUUUUAAAAAAUGUUAAAGAGAAAACAACAAAAGAAAUACUCAAACUGGUAGCUAGUGCAUAGAAGAGAAACAAUAUUUAUAGAUAUAUCUGUGUGUGUGUGUGCAUAUAUAUAAAUAUAGGUUAAUCAAGGACUAGUUGUAGCAGGAGGAGGUGAGGGGAGUGGGAGAGAGGGGAUU
rnacentral:lncRNA from 1 species